rnacentral:piRNA from 1 species
UUCCUUUCGCCCAGAUCUAUGCU